GACGAACCUUGCUAACGUUAGUCGGAAUCAUUGGGCUUAAAGGGCGCGUAGGCGGCGGCGUAAGUUCGUGGUGAAAUCCCAUCGGCUCAACCGUGGAAUCGCUUCGAAUACUGCGUCGCUCGAGUGGGAUAGGGGACCGCAGAACUGCCGGUGGAGCGGUGAAAUGUGUUGAUAUCGGCGGGAAUGCCAGUGCCGAAAGGGGCGGUCUGGACCCUCACUGACGCUGAGGCGCGAAAGCUAGGGGAGCAAACGGG
rnacentral:rRNA from 1 species